UAAGUAAGCUUUGAUCCAGAGAUUUCCGAAUGGGGAAACCCAGCAUGAGUUAUGUCAUGUUAUCGAUAUGUGAAUACAUAGCAUAUCAGAAGGCACACCCGGAGAACUGAAACAUCUUAGUACCCGGAGGAAGAGAAAGAAAAUUCGAUUCCCUUAGUAGCGGCGAGCGAAACGGGAAGAGCCCAAACCAACAAGCUUGCUUGUUGGGGUUGUAGGACACUCUAUACGGAGUUACAAAGGACGACAUUAGACGAAUCAUCUGGAAAGAUGAAUCAAAGAAGGUAAUAAUCCUGUAGUCGAAAAUGUUGUCUCUCUUGAGUGGAUCCUGAGUACGACGGAGCACGUGAAAUUCCGUCGGAAUCUGGGAGGACCAUCUCCUAAGGCUAAAUACUCUCUAGUGACCGAUAGUGAACCAGUACCGUGAGGGAAAGGUGAAAAGCACCCCGGAAGGGGAGUGAAAUAGAACCUGAAACCGUGUGCUUACAAGUAGUCAGAGCCCGUUAAUGGGUGAUGGCGUGCCUUUUGUAGAAUGAACCGGCGAGUUACGAUUUGAUGCAAGGUUAAGCAGUAAAUGUGGAGCCGUAGCGAAAGCGAGUCUGAAUAGGGCGUUUAGUAUUUGGUCGUAGACCCGAAACCAGGUGAUCUACCCUUGGUCAGGUUGAAGUUCAGG
rnacentral:rRNA from 1 species